UACCGAACGUGCGUACCAUGCACUAGUGGACGCGUUUGGCGAGCCUGAACAACCGGACGGGAACGCUAGUCCACCGUACUUUGGCCGCGUGCCGGUGUAUAAUGCAAACAGGGCCAGUGGCCCAGUACCAUCGACGCCCCUGCCACGUCCAGCUGCGGUACGACCGUACGUGCGGCCCGGUUCACGCUUUUACCGCCGCCAUUCGCCACUAGAACCACCGUCAGUGCACGGUUCGUCGCUUGGCUGCUUGCGUGAGAAACCACCGGUACAGCCACGGUACAGCAGCUACACCAGCCAGCAGACGAAGCAGCAACAGCAGCGCGAACCAUCGAUCUCGUCACCGGGCAGUCCGGCAUCGAGUGGGGACGGUCCGCAGCAGCGGGUAGCAAGGAGCCGCUUUCUCGCCAUGUCCGGCGACGCAGACGCGGUGCAGACCGAGCACGAACCGGACCGUGCGAGAACGCCCCCAAAUACUUCGGCAUCGAUCGGGGGCACCAAUUCCGAUACCGGAGCGCACGACGCACAGCCGAUGUCGGUCGACACGAUGGUCGGGUCCGGUAGCAGUGCCGUCACUUCGGGCCCGCCAGUAGCAUCGACUGGCUCGAGCGCGACAGUGCCGUCGACAGCAACGCACGCACCGACCAGCAGCAGCAACGGUAACAACCAGCAACAGCAGCAGCAGCAGCAGAACCAGGUGAACAACAAUCACAGCAACAGCGCAGUGGACGCACCGAAUGAUACAGGUGUCGCCGGAUCAAAGCGCGAUCUAAACCCGAAAGGUGCGGCACUGGUGCGGAGCAAGGAAUCCGUAUCGCCACUGCCGCUAAAGCGCCCGCACGCGCCCGGCAUCGGGCAGAACGGUACCGGCGGUAAGGACACGAACAACAACGCACCCGGUGACGGACACCGCAGUCCGCUCGGUGCGGCCACGCAAUCAACCAACGCAAACGGGCCGGGUCAAACGCCCACCAAUCCGAACCAACCGACGCGCCCGAUAGGUGGCAUCAAGGGUCGCAAGGGUGGUGGCUGGAAGGCCCGCCCGGACAGUGAAUCGUUCGGGAACGCGCUCAACUCGCCGACGGACGAGGACGAGCUGCUUGCUGGCAGCCCGGUAACGGUCCGUCGACAACCGAUCAACGUCAAUCCGGUCAUCACACGGGAUAAACUCGCCAGUUCCGGUGGUGGUAGUGGUGUUGUUGGUGGGGUUGGUAGUGUUAGUGGUGGUGGUGGUGGUGGUUGGGGACCAAGACAGCGUGGAGGGGCAGUUGAGCGUGGUAGCCGCAUCCAGAGUCCAGCCACCGGUACAGUUCCCCAUCUGCACGGUGGACUUGGUGGUGGUAUAGGAGUAGUAGGAGUAGGAGGAGGAGGAGGAGGAGGUGCUGGUGGAGGAACCGGUGGGACGUCGAUGGACGUUGGGAGUGAGGGUGCGUCGCAGCUAGCAGCCGCUAACGCAACCGGCAUUGCCACCGUUCCAUCCGGCGGUACCGCCGUACCAGGUACAGCAGCAAGCACACCGGGCACCGCCCCACAACAGGCUGGUCCGGUACCGGUAAAGCGCAGCCAGUCGCGAAACGACGUGCUGGACCUGGACAGUGUACCCGGACCGUCGGGGCUACUGCCGAGCAACCCGGGCGUACCGGGCACGAUCGGGGGCAAUCCGCAGUCACGCUACUCAAACCUGUCGUUCUGGAAGGCGCGGCGGGUGCUGUUCUACCGGAAUGGCGAUCCCUUCUUUCCGGGCGUCGAGUUCCGGUUCAAGCCCGGGCGGGACAUCUGUACGCUCGAGGCACUGCUCGACAAGAUCUCCGCCCGGAUGGAUCUGCCCCGGGGUGCCCGCUACAUAUUCUCGAUGGAUGGCGACCGGAAGUACUCGCUCGAUGAGCUGGAGGACGGUUCCAGCUACGUCGUCUCCUCGUUCAAGGUGUUCAAGCCGGCCAGCUACGGCAAGAAGAACGGCGUGUGGUACGCAUCACCGGGCAAUCAGGGAUGGGGGAGUGGUGCGGGCCCGGGCCGACUCGGCCGCAAACCGUCCGUCACCGAGGUGGACAACAUGCCGUCCGGCAGCUUAAAGCCGAGUGCUGGGCGCGUUAUUAGAAUAAUCAACAGUCACGAUCACAGCGUACAGUGUCGCGUACUGCUGAACCUGCGCACAUCGCAACCGUUCGAGGAGGUGCUGGAGGAUCUCGGCCAGGUGUUGAAGAUGAUCGGAGCCAAAAAGAUGUAUACCAGCAACGGGCAGGAGGUGCGCAGCUUCUCGCAACUGCGCAACGAGUUCGCCGAGGUGGAGACGUUCUAUCUGAGCAACACACCCUCGCUACCGGUCGGUGCGCUUGGGCCGGGUGUGAUUCCACCCUCACCUGGUCGUCGUUCGCGCUCCCGGCUCGGCGGCUCCGUACCGGACGACCUGUCGAAGACGACGGCCCGGCAGCGGGCACGCAGCAAGAGCCGCCCGCGGGUACUGUACGCGCCAGAAAACGAGCUGGUCCGCGCCUCGUCCGACUAUCCGCUGCUGGACGCGAUGAAGGAGGAACCAACGCGCAUCACGAUCCGCGGACUGCGGCGUACCUUCUAUCCGCCGCUGCACCAUCCGCCGAUAGAUAACGCACCGCCCGAUAAGAAGCUGUCCCUGUUUUGGGUGCAUGGUUACCGUGGAAUUGAUUCCAAGCGCAACCUUUGGGUUUUGCCGUCCGGUGAACUGCUGUACUAUGUUGCCGCCGUUGCCGUGCUGUACGAUCGCGAGGAGGACGCUCAGCGCCAUUACACCGGCCACACGGAGGACAUCAUGUGCAUGGAGGUGCACCCAUCGCGGGAACUUGUCGGCUCGGGACAGCGGGCCGGCCGGGACCGGAAGUCCCAGGCGCACGUGCGCAUCUGGAGCACCGAGUCGCUCCAGACACUGUACGUGUUCGGUAUGGGUGAGCUCGAUUCUGGCGUGAUUGCGGUCGCCUUUUCACAGCUGAACGGUGGCAGCUACAUCCUUGCGGUGGACGCCGGCCGCGAAAGCAUCCUGUCCGUCUGGCAAUGGCAAUGGGGCCAUCUGCUUGGCAAGGUGGCGACUCUGCAAGAAGGUAUCUGGGGCGCAACAUUCCAUCCACUGGACGAUAAUUUACUGAUCACACAUGGACGAGGUCAUCUCGCGUUUUGGCACAGACGGAAAGACGGUUUCUUCGAAAAGACAGACAUCAUUAAGCCGCCUUCAAGAACAUUUGUGACCUGUGUACAGUUUGAGCCAGAUGGCGACGUCAUAACAGCGGAUAGUGACGGUUUCAUCACAAUCUACAGUGUCGAUGCAGACGGUGCGUACUUUGUACGUAUGGAGUUUGAAGCCCACAACAAAGCGAUCAGUUGUUUGGUGAUGCUAUCCGAGGGUACACUCAUAUCCGGUGGCGAAAAGGAUCGCAAAAUUGCCGCCUGGGACUCGCUGCAAAAUUACAAACGCAUCACGGACAUUAAGCUACCGGAGUCGGCCGGCGGUGUACGCUCGAUAUAUCCGCAGCGACCGGGCCGGAACGAUGGCAACAUCUACGUCGGUACGACGCGCAACAACAUCCUGGAGGGUUCGCUACAGCGGCGCUUCAACCAAGUCAUCUUCGGACACGGCAAGCAUCUGUGGGCGCUGGCAGCCCACCCAGACGACGAGGUGUUCGCAACCGGUGGCCACGACAAGUAUGUGGCGCUGUGGCGCCGCCAGAAGCUAAUCUGGACGACGUCUGUCGGGUACGAGAUAAUAGCGCUUGCGUUCCAUCCGUACGGUGCUGCCCUGGCGGCCGGCAGUUCCGAAGGUCAUCUGAUCGUGAUUAAUGCGGAGAAUGGUGCCACGAUGCUAACGAUCCGGGUCUGCGGUUCACCGCUGAAUGCGGUCGAGUUCAAUCAAGUCGGUGACAUGAUAGCGAUCGGGUCGCAGAAUGGCAGUAUCUAUCUAUUCCGAGUGUCACGCGAUGGGUUCUCGUACAAAAAGAUCAACAAGAUCCGUGGUUCGCAACCGCUGACACAUCUCGACUGGAGCAGCGAGGGCAACUUCCUCCAGUCGGUGACGGUUGAUUUCGAUCUGCUGUUCUGGGAUGUGAAGUCACUGUCGCCGGAGAAGAGCCCGAUUGCGAUGAAGGAUGUGAAGUGGUUGUCCAACAACAGUACCGUCGGUUUCCUGGUGGCCGGUCUCUGGAACAACCGCUACUAUCCGGCACCGUCGAACACAAUCAUCACGACGACGGCCCGUACCGCGGCCCAGGAUCUGGUGGCGGCCGGUGACGCCGACGGUUAUCUGCGUCUGUUCCGCUAUCCGUGCAUCACACCGCGGGCCGAGUUUACCGAGGCGAAGGUGUACUCCGGUACGCUCGCCUGCGUUAAGUUCCUGUACGGCAACCACAGCCUGGUGACGGUCGGCGGUACCGACGCGUCGCUCAUGAUCUGGGAGCUAACCGAGGAAUAGCCACUGUGGCCGCCGUGGCGCACCGGGGUCGGCGUCGCCGCAGCCGCAACCGCCGGGUCUCCCUCACCAGCAGAGUCGAACUCGAUUCACCGGACGACUUCUUCUUUUUGUUGUAACUCGUUUGUGCAGGAUCAGGACCUGUCACCACCAGCCGGUGGUACCGUGG